UACGAAGGGGGCUAGCGUUGCUCGGAAUUACUGGGCGUAAAGCGCACGUAGGCGGUUUCUUAAGUCGGUGGUGAAAUCCUGGAGCUCAACUCCAGAACUGCCUUCGAUACUGGGAAACUUGAGUCCGGGAGAGGUGAGUGGAACUGCGAGUGUAGAGGUGAAAUUCGUAGAUAUUGGGAAGAACACCGGUGGCGAAGGCGGCUCACUGGCUCGUUUCUGACGCUCAGGCGCGACAGCGUGGGGAUCAAACAGG
rnacentral:rRNA from 1 species